rnacentral:lncRNA from 1 species
ACCAUUUUCAAGCAACUAAGUCUCAAAACAAAACCACAUUCAAACCAAAAUUUUUUUUUCUUUAAAGUCCUUAAACUUAACCAUUUUUAAGCAACUAAGUCUCAAAACAAAAUCACAUUUCAAACACAAAAUCCCCUUCAAAGUUCCUAAACUUAACCAUUUUCAAGCAACUAAGUCUCAAAACAAAACCACAUUCAAAACAAAAAAAAUUUCUAUAAAGUCCCUACACUUGACAGUUUUCAAACAACUAAGUCUAACCAAAAAACCACAUUCAAAACAAAAAAAAUCCCUUUAAAGUCCCUAAACUUAACCAUUUUCAAGCAAUUAACUCUAAAAAACAAAAUCACAUUCCAAACACAAAAUCCCCUUUAAAGUUCCUACGCUUAACCAUUUUCAAGCAACUAAGUCUCAAAACAAAGCAACAUUCAAAACAAAAAAAUCCCAUUUAACUCGCUACGCUUAACCAUUUUCAAGCAACUAAGUCUCAAGACUAAACCACAUUCAAAACAAAAUCUCCUUUAAAGUCUCUACACUAACCAUUUUCAAGGAACUAAGUUUCAAAACAAAACCACGUUCAAA